UUUUAUGGGCUGAAGCAAGAAAACCCAACCGCAAACAACAUCGGUUCCUAAUCCCUCUUCUCUAGCUAGCUUCAAUGGAGGAACUUGACAAACAAGACAUACAAACGGAACAUGGUGGUUAGAGCCACAGGUUUUGAACCCUUUCUUCCUCCACUUCCACUUUCACCUUCACUCACUACAUUUUCCCUCAACUCUUUCUCAAACCCUAACUUCUCCUCUUCAAUGCGUUCUACAUUCACACUAUUUCGCAAUCUCAUGCUCUCCACUUUCCACCAACCCCGCACGCUCCCUUCCCAACUCCUCCCUCGCCGGUUUCCGCGCCUCUGCGUUGGCGCCGAGCAGUGGGCACUCCAUGAAGAACUUCCGGAACACGAAAUUUUCCGUUUUGCGGCGGAGGCUGGUGAGAAGCGGCUGCCGCGUCCGGAGGUGGAGGUGAAGGAGUUGAGUGAAGUUCCGGAGCUGUGGCGAAGGUCGAGAGUUGCUUGGCUGUGCAAGGAGCUGCCGGCGCAUAAGGCGGGAACUCUAAUUAGGAUUUUGAAUGCGCAGAGGAAGUGGAUGAGGCAGGAAGAUGCCACAUAUGUCAUUAUGCAUUGCUUGCGGAUUCGCGAGAACGAAACUGCGUUUAGGGUAUACAAAUGGAUGAUGCAACGGAGUUGGUACCGAUUUGAUUUUGCUCUUUCUACCAGGCUAGCUGAUUACAUGGGUAAAGAGCGGAAAUUUUCUAAGUGCCGUGAGGUAUUUGAUGAUAUUAUCAAUCAAGGCCGUGUUCCCAGCGAAUCAACAUUCCAUAUAUUGGUCGUGGCUUACCUUAGUUCUUCUGUUCAAGGUUGCUUGGAUGAAGCAUGUGGUAUUUUCCACCGAAUGAUUCAGUUGGGUGGAUACCAGCCAUGUCUUAGCUUGCAUAAUUCCCUCUUUAAAGCUCUUGUUGGCAAACCAGGGAACUUUUCAAAGCAGUACCUUAAGCAAGCUGAGUUUAUAUAUCACCGUUUGGUUUCAACUGGACUUGAUGUACAUAAGGAUAUUUAUGGUGGCCUAAUUUGGCUGCAUAGCUAUCAGGAUUGCAUAGACAAAAAGAGAAUAGAAGCAUUGAGGGAAGAGAUGCGACGCGCUGGAAUUGGUGAGAGAGAAGAGGUGCUGGUGUCAAUCUUGAGGGCUUGUGCAAGGGAGGGAGAGGUGGAGGAAGCAGAGAAAACUUGGUCCAAACUUUUGCAGUUUGAAAGUAACCCCCCAUCACAGGCUUUUGUGUACAAAAUGGAAGUCUACUCUAAGGUUGGCGUGCCUAUGAAGGCCUUGGAGGUAUUUAGGGAAAUGCAGUUGAAACUAGGUAAGACAGGUGUGCCAGCAUAUAAUAAAAUAAUAGAAAUACUGUGCAAAGCACAAGAAUCCGAAUUUGCAGAAUCAAUCAUGACAGAAUUUGUCAAUAGUGGUCUGAAGCCCCUUACACCAUCAUAUGUUUAUUUAUUAAACAUGUACUUCAACUUGGAAUCACAUGAUAAAUUGGAAGAGGCGUUCUCUCAAUGCCUAGAGAAAUGUCGUCCUAAUAGUGCCAUAUACAGUAUAUAUUUGGAUUCUUUGGUGAAAGUUGGUAAACUUAACAAGGCUGAGGAUAUCUUUUGCCAAAUGUUUCGUGAUGCAAGUAUUGGUGUCAAUGCCCGAUCAUGUAACAACAUCUUACACGGAUACCUAUAUUCGGGAAACAACUUCAAGGCGGAAAAGAUCUAUGACUUAAUGUGCCAAAAGAAGUAUGAAAUUGAUGCCCCAUUAAUUGAAAAGCUUGACUAUAUCCUGAGUUUGAGAAGGAGGAUUACUAAAAAGCCAAUGAGCCUGAAGCUAAACAAAGAACAGAGAGAGAUGCUGAUUGGGAUGCUUUUAGGUGGCUUGCAGAUUGAUUCUGAUGGUCAAAGGAAGAACCACAUCAUUGGCUUCAAUUUUGAUGGCAAUUCUGUGAGCCAUAAUGUCUUGAAAAGUCAUAUACAUCACCAAUUUUAUGAGUGGCUACAUCCUACUUUUAAGCCAAGUGAUGACAGUAAGAACAUACCAGAUAAGUUUUGCACCAUUGCAAGCUCUCAUUUUGGCUUUUACGCUGAUCAGUUUUGGUCAGGAGGUCAACCUACGAUUCCAAAACUUGUUCAUAGGUGGUUGUCACCGUGUGUUCUUGCAUAUUGGUAUAUGUAUGGGGGCCAUAGAAACUCAUCAGGGGAUAUUUUGCUGAAGAUUAAGGGAAGUCGUGAGGGUGUGGAGAACAUUGUCAAAAAGUUUAAAGCCAUGUCCAUUGAUUGUAAAGUCAAGGGAAAGGGAAAGGUAUUCUGGAUUGGUAUUCUGGGAAGCAAUACGACAUGGUUCUGGAAAUUGGUUGAGCCAUAUAUUCUAGAAGAUGUAAGAGAUUUCACUAAGUCAGGUGUGAAUAUGAUGGGACGGGAUUUAUUGGAAACUCAAGACAUUAACUUCAAUAGAGAAUCAGAGGAAUGAGAAAGGGCGAUACGGAAUUGAUGAUAAUGGUUGGACUUUGGAAAAGCUUUUCUUAGUAGUUUGCCAGACUAGAACUUUAAACCCUUCUGAGACACACUAAGUUCUGGCGCUUCAGUUUCCCACACAACUCAUGCCAAUCUUCAGAAGUACACGCCAUUUUAGAUUAUGUUAUUUCUCUGUUAUUCUCUGUCAGGUGAGUUCUGAUGAUCUUCUGAAUCCUGCUCUCCUUGUUGUAUUUACUUUAGUUCUUAUUCGUGCCUUUGAUUUUUUCUUUCCAGUGGUCUUCAUAAUAUUAUUAUGAUGUCAUUUCAUCUAUGUAGCCAACCCUACCUUGUGGGGUAAGUCUUGGUUGUUGUUGUUGUUGUGGUCUUCAUAAUCUUCUUUAAGUUUUAUAAGGUAUGAAUUGUUGACAGAGAAUAACGUGGGUUGCAACUUUUUUACUAUUAUAUCGGUCAGUUUUCUAAAAACAAUUUCUUUUGUUUUGUCUCAUGAUUGUCCAGAGAUUUUCGGUGAGUUUAUCUUUUUGUUUGCUUUUUAUUCGUUUGAUGAUUGUCCUGCAUUUAUGAAAAGGUCAUUGACUUUAGGAAUUAGAAUGAUUCUUUGAUGGGGGAAUUCUGUAUCC